AUAACAAAAAUAAACAAUAAAUUCAAGCAAAAUGUGUAAAACUAAAUGUGCUGAGUGAUAGCUGGCUUCCCCGCCCCCCUGCAAAUACGAUAGAUAGUAAACGACGAUUUGUUUGCGAUUUGUAGCGAGCUGCGCAUACUCGCCAUUAUUAUUGACAGACAACUGUAACGAAGACGCAGUGCGGUGCUGCAGUCAGUCAGCCUGUCAGCGCACCUCAAUGAAGUCAGCCAUUCAUUCAGUCAGUCAGUCAGUCAGUUAGUCAAUUCCGAAUGUGCACCAAUUGUGGCAAACGUACUUGUAGUGCAACACACGCUUGCGCAGUGUAAUAGACAGUCUGCAAAGUCAGUCAGCGAACCGUUGAAGCGGCGAGUCAGUGAGCUUGUCACGUAUUGAAUUCGUAUGCGACGCUCCCAGCACCCAGCAGGCACCCAAGUGAACCGAGUGAAUUUGUAAACAAGUAAUAAAUUUCUAUAUAAACUGUCGAGACAACUGAAUAGUGAGUGAAAGAUACAAAUCGCACACUUCAACAUCGACGACGCAGCGGUAAAUUGACAGUUUUACGAGGGAGGCGCGAACAAAGAGGAGGGCAGCCGUUUAAAAAAAAAAAACAUUCGAGCAUUGAUGAAGCGCAGCUGCUUUGUGUGUAAAUAAAGCCGCUGAUUCAAUUCAAGCGCGUAACAAGCCCCAACCAACGCGUAUCCGCGUUCAAACGCACUGCCACGCCCAUACGCCCAUACGCCCACCCGCAGACUUUACAAUACAAACAUUUGUGCGACGUUGGCCGCCCGCUGAUUCGGCGCACAGUUGUAGCGCUUAGCGCGGAGAAGGCGUAGCGGAUAUUUGCUGCCAGCUGUAACAAAAACAAAAAGUGUAAUAAAAAAUAAAUAUUUAAAUUGAAAUAAAUUAAAAGUUAAAAAAAUAUGCAAGUUAUUUUAUAAGAAGAAAAAGAAAUCACAAACUAAAUUUAUUUCUGUGCUUACGCGUACUAAACGAUGACAUGCUAUCAACAUUCUAUUCAACAGUGCAAAAACAACAUAAAGAACUAUACACACCAGACUACAGUGAAUAGAACGUCAAUCGUCAUCAGCCCCAACCUCAGCUUCAGCACGGAAAGAAGCGCGCUCUUGUUGUUGUCUCACCACUGGAGCGACAUAAAUCCAAUGGAAAAUGAUGUUCUAUCACAGCAACAACAACAACAACAACAACAGCUACAGCCGAAGCAACAGUGGCGGCGACGAGAUCAACAACAGCGCACAUAGUUCGCUGGCAUCGGCGUCGGCGCUAACGUCAAAGCAACGCAGCAGCAGUUAUAAGAAGUAUCGACGCGCGAAACAGCUCCAAACUAGCAGCGUGCUCUGUGGCAAUGACAAUUCUAAGGCCACAUUUUCGCUCGCCGCAUCCGCACUGCCACCAGACACAGUGGCAACAGCGACGCCCAAUGAGAGCGCGCGCACGCCAACGCGCAACAAUCGCACGCAAGCAGGCGCGUCAUUGUCGUCAUCAUCCGUCUGUGCUGCGUUGAGCGCUGGCUUUAGCACCUGCAGCGCGCUCAGUUUGUCGCUAAGCAUCCUGCUGCUCUUGCGGUUAGCGCCCACUGUCAACGGCCUCGCAGUCGGCGUUGACACCACCAAUGCGAACAUCACGGAUUUGGGUAGUCCCGGUGGGUAUUCAAAAUAAUGUUCAAUUAAAAUCAUUUAUUGCAGAAAUUUUUAUGAAAUUUAUCUAUGUAAUUGUACGUAUUUUAAUAUCUAACACCUUUUGUACUUGUAUCUACCUUCCAUGUUUUUGAAACUGCUGCUGCUGUCGCCUAUUGUAUAAGUUUCAUUGAGAUUUGUCAAUCUUUCGUUUAAUGCCCUAAAGUCCGAAGCAUGCUUGCCUUUCAAGUUUUAAUCUGGGCUAGCAGCUCUGCCUGAAAGACAGUGGAUGAUCUGCCCACCGCAUUGUCGGGUCCAAAAACACCUAUUCUGUUUUCCAUCCUUGACCUGUCUGUGUAACAUAUAUAUCUGAGACUAAGGCCAAGAAGUCUUCCGCAAGUCCACAGGGCUCGGGAGGAAAUGCAAAAAGUUUUGUUUUGAUGGGAAAUUGACUUUCUCACAAUAUUCAAACAAUGUGCCUCCAAAGGUAACCGCACCAAGAUUCUGCUCAUAUCUCCUGAUUAACGGUAUAAAAACAGUACCCCAGUGGGUAAACCCGUUUAAUACCGCACUCUAAGUAUGCGCUAUGCCCAAAACUCCUGUAUUUUAAUUGGAACGUCUCUCAUCACUACAGACCAAAAUAACGGUGCAAGAUUCUCCCAGUAAGAGUGUAAGUAGGUAUGAUGUAAGGGAGUUGAAAAUCUCAUUGCCCGAUUUAGAAAUACUUAGAUACUCUAAGUAAACGGAUAUAAUUCCACGUAUAAAAGGCCCCAAAGGGAUUGACUAGGCUAGGCGAUUAGUGCUGGAAAGAAACAACCACCGCAUUCUGCUUUAAAUUGUUUAAAGGUCUCUACCGCUAUCCGUACUGCUUCAAUGUCAAAGAUAAAGCCAGAACUGCUAGGUCUUCUCACUCUGCGGAACCUAUGCUUCGAAGUGGCUCAAGUCAGGCGAUCCCGCUCCACGUAAGAACCUAGAAAAUAAACUUGAAGCAAGUAUUUCAGAAGUCCACUGUCGUUGCUAGUAAUAAGGGUGCCAUUUUGCCUCCUUAAAAGUUGUAUUCCAUUGAAAUGUUUCCUCAAUAAAACUUUCUAGUACCUCUUCUUUUAUAGCGGCAAUGAAUGUGCGUCUUAAAGCCUUUUUUGUACCCUUUUAUCGGUACCUAGCGCCUAACACCUUUCAUAGUAGAGAGAGAUUGUGUCCCAUUUAAUUUAUAAGGCAUAGCCAUCUUUUGAAUUCACUGCAAAUAAUACAAGUAAGCAACAAAAAAAAAAAAAAACUUUCAAUUGUGUAACACCACCUAGGGCGGCACUCCGUUUGCCACCAUUCCACUUUUCCCCGCCCUAACCAGCUCUUAGUUAAAUUUACUAAACAUCGAUGUUCCAUUGGCCCGUAUUGCCUCUGAUUAAACAAUAUAGCGCGCUCUGUGUACCACAAUUUCCUGCUCCCAACUCAUUCAUUUGCACAAUCAGCAGGUCAGCAGCUGCCAAGAAUGUAGGCUAGCCACUUGAGCACCCACCGUCCGUGCGCCUCCCACCUAUAACCGCAGGCAAAGUUCAGUAGCCGAGUCGUUCAUGCGCUGCUGGCAAAAUUGCCAGUUGUCGCACGAGUUCUCGGCCGUCAGUCUGUUUGCUUGUCACGUCCUUUCCUUUGUAUAUGUAUACGUGAAUGCAAUAGUUGUUGCCGCACUGACACUUAGUACACUUAGUUUCAUUUUCGUUUUCAUUUCCAUUUAAUUUGUUUUUCUUCUUUCUUUCAUUUCUUUUGGUUUCUUCUGUUCUCAUUGAUUUGUUGUUGUUGUUUUUUCUGUCACUUUUUUACGUUUUUUUUUUUGUUAUUUUACACCUGUUUCUGCAACGCCUGUCACACUUUCGCAUUUUAUUCCAUUUCCUUUGCAAUAUCAAGCACCCACCACCGCAGCCAUUUACACUCGACGUUACCUCAAAGCUAUUGCUCUCCGCCAACAGCCUGGCCGCACUCAGCCAUACACUGGCUCUAAGCAUCAAUUAACCCAAUUUUCAAAUCCAUUUGCACCGCUACGCCACAAAAUUGCAGGCAGUCGGCCAGAGCAGUGGGCGGUGUGCGAUGUGCGGCGGAGAGUUGCUUGCGAGCAAAAGUGUGGAAGAGAGUGUGGAGUGCGAUCCCCACAUCUCACCAGACCGCUCGACCACCUGCCUGCCUGCCUGCCUACUUUUUGCCUAGGCUAUAAAGCAGCGAGUGUGCUGCCACUUUAGUAUUUCAUUUUACUUUGUCCCCCCCCCCAUUCCACUUAGCCCCCAUCGUCGCCUUCAUAACCAUUCAUAUUGACUGUUGUGUAAGCUAUAUGCUUUGUGACCAGGCAGUUCCAGGAGCACCUCACACCUCAAUUCCCCAAUGGCCCUGCCGAUUGUAGGCCCAGCCGAGCCACAUCGCCACCCCCACUCACAGACCUCAAAGUACAUAUUUACGCAAGAGAAAGUAUGUGCAACAUGAAGGACUUAAUUCACAAAGACACGUUUACCAAUGGUGGCAACAGCAGCAGCAGAAGCUUUAGCAAUUGUUGGCCAUUUUCAGCCAAUUCUAUGUAUGAUUUUGUUACUUUUUUCAAUUUCGUACUGCUACUACUGCUACCAACUUUAUUUUUCUCAUUUUUUGUUAUCACUGCCCCUGGCGGAGCAUUUAAGUCUAUUUGCAGAGUUGUUGUUGUCAACAUCGUCGCCUUCGUCGUUGUCGUCGUCGUCGUUGAUUUGGUUUGGUUGGAAUUGGAUUGGUUUAGAUUGGAUUGCCAUUGGAUUUGCAAGCGAUAAGCGAAUGAAAUCAACACUGGAAUCGGUCGAUAUCGGAACGACCUACAAAAUACCUGACUAAUAUUCUUUAUGCUCUUUUUAAUUAAAAUAUAAUCGGAUUUUCUUUGCAGCAUUUUAACCGUUUCAAUUUUAGCGAAAAUAAUCCACUUUUUUCUAGAUUUUCAGCGCAACGAAAUAAUACAUAUAUAAUCCAUUUAUUUACAGAACGGUCAGCAAAGCCAGGGUGGAAAACUUUUAUGCUGCAGAUAUAAUAAUUUUCUUUUCCAAUUUCUAGGAUAUAAGUAAAACACACUUUGAAUUUCCCUACAGAUUUCAAGUAAACGGGCCAAUAUGAAAAUUAAAUUAUGGGACAGUUCAAAACAACGCUGGUGAUUUAAGAUUUAAAAGAUGCCGUUUUUUUUCGUUGCAGAAAUUGGCGGAUCAAAGCUCAGCAGCUGCAUCUUAGACUGAGUAGAUUAGAACGCGCGGACUCUGAUGCAUUAAUUGUAAAGAGAAGAACCAGAAAGCCGAAACUUCGCUUUGAUGACACCGAACGAAGCCGAUUUAUGAACGGAAAGAAACACUCUGGUUUAGCAGCGCAAUCUCCAGCGUUCAAAAUAUUCGUGUGGACGAAGGCGGGAGGAGCUAUUCAGAAGAAACCUUUGUUUUCCCAAAAAGUGUAGAUGUAUACGUAGAUGUUAAGUUGCUCAAAAUCUCUGAGCAUAAUAAUAUAUAAGGGAUGUCCAAAUCAAAAGUUGUUAUUAGAAAAGUUUAAUAGUU